GGAAUAUUGCGCAAUGGCCGAAAGGCUGACGCAGCGACGCCGCGUGUGGGAUGAAGCCUUUCGGGGUGUAAACCACUGUCAGAAGGGAAGAAACUCGUGCUUCCGCAUAGGGCGUGCGAUUGACGGUACCUUCAGAGGAAGCACCGGCUAACUCCGUGCCAGCAGCCGCGGUAAGACGGCGGGUGCAAGCGUUGUUCGGAAUUACUGGGCGUAAAGCGCGCGCAGGCGGUCUUUUAAGUCCUUUGUGAAAUCCCGGAGCUCAACUCCGGAUAUGCAGUGGAUACUGGAAGACUAGAGACCGGUAGAGGCUAGCGGAAUUCCUGGUGUAGCGGUGGAAUGCGUAGAUAUCAGGAGGAACAUCAAUGGCGAAGGCGGCUAGCUGGGCCGGGUCUGACGCUCAUGUGCGAAAGCGUGGGGAGCAAAC
rnacentral:rRNA from 1 species